AGUCGAACGGCAGCGGGUCCAGCAAUGGAUGCCGGCGAGUGGCGCACGGGUGCGUAACACGUAUGCAAUCUACCCUUAACUGGGGGAUAGCCCCGAGAAAUCGGGAUUAAUACCCCAUAAUAUUGCGAAGAGGAUUCUUUUUGCAAUUAAAGCUCCGGCGGUUUUGGAUGAGCAUGCGCGACAUUAGCUAGUUGGUGAGGUAACGGCUCACCAAGGCUUCGAUGUCUAGGGGUUCUGAGAGGAUUUACCCCCACACUGGUACUGAGACACGGACCAGACUCCUACGGGAGGCAGCAGUAAGGAAUAUUGGUCAAUGGACGCAAGUCUGAACCAGCCAUGCCGCGUGAAGGAAGACGGCCCUACGGGUUGUAAACUUCUUUUGUACAGGAAAAAACCACCGGUCGUGUAUCGGUGCUGAUGGUACUGUAAGAAUAAGGAUCGGCUAACUCCGUGCCAGCAGCCGCGGUAAUACGGAGGAUCCAAGCGUUAUCCGGAUUCAUUGGGUUUAAAGGGUGCGCAGGCGGAAUGAUAAGUCAGUGGUGAAAGCCUACAGCUCAACUGUAGAACUGCCAUUGAUACUGUCGUUCUUGAGUACACUUGGAGUGGGCGGAAUGUGUCAUGUAGCGGUGAAAUGCUUAGAUAUGACACAGAACACCGAUCGCGAAGGCAGCUCACUAAAUUGUAACUGACGCUCAGGCACGAAAGCGUGGGGAUCAAACAGGAUUAGAUACCCUGGUAGUCCACGCCGUANACGAUGAUCACUCGAUGUUGGCGAUAUACUGUCAGCGUCUAAGCGAAAGCAUUAAGUGAUCCACCUGGGGAGUACGAUCGCA
rnacentral:rRNA from 1 species